AGCAGCCGCGGUAAUUCCAGCUCCAAUAGCGUAUAUUAAAGUUGUUGCAGUUAAAAGCUCGUAGUUGAAUUUCGGGAUCAUCAGGUUGGUCGUGCCUCUGGUAUGUACUGAUCUCGAUGGUUCCUCCUUCUUGAAGAACCGUAAUGCCAUUAAUUUGGUGUUGCGGGGAAACAGGACUGUUACUUUGAAAAAUUAGAGUGUUUAAAGCAGGCAAUCGCUUGAAUACAUUAGCAUGGAAUAAUGAAAUAGGACGUUCGAUCCUAUUUUGUUGGUUUCUAGGAUUGACGUAAUGAUUAAUAGGGAUAGUUGGGGGCAUUAGUAUUCAAUUGUCAGAGGUGAAAUCCUUGGAUUUAUUGAAGACUAACUACUGCGAAAGCAUUUGCCAAGGAUGUUUUCAUUAAUCAAGAACGAAAGUUAGGGGAUCGAAGACGAUCAGAUACCGUCGUAGUCUUAACCAUAAACUAUGCCGACUAGGGAUCGGAUG
rnacentral:misc_RNA from 1 species